CAAUUAACCUAAUCAUCAGAGGGCAAAUUCGUCUCUUCAUUCAUUCAGCGAGAAGUUCGUUACACUGAUAUCCCGAGUAGCACUGGACGAACAGAUGUUGAUUUUGAAGAAAAUCGACCGAUCGGUGAUCAUGCUCAAUUAUCUGCUUAUCAGAGAGUUUCGAUUGAGGAUGUUUUAAAUCCGCGACCUGCAAAUCCAAUUCCAAUUUCAAGUACAAGUCAUGCAAACGAGUGUUCUAAUGAUGAAAGGGUUUACACUCCGGAGGUUCAAGCAUCAGCUACACC